rnacentral:lncRNA from 1 species
AGUCCUCCCGGCCGCGCGGCGCCGGGGCUGAGCUGGGCUGGCGCGCGGCUGUCGGAGCGAGGACCCGCCCCGGGACGGCACCGAAAGCGAAGGCGGGCACCGCCCGGCCGACAGGCGACUCAAAGGCGGCCCAGCCAAGCCGAAGUCCCCAGCACCCCCCCGCAGGCUCCCGCUUGCCCCCUUCCCGCCCCGUCGCCAGCCCGGAAAGCGGAGUGCACGGGCCCCGGUGACGGCGCGUGAAGCGCCGCGGCCCGGCAGGAGCCAGUGCGGGUCCCGAGCCGUGCUCGGAGUGGGAGGGCUGCCAGCUCGGCCGCGCGCCACAGCCCGCUUCCUCCGGUCCGCGCCAGGCCCGCGAGGGUCUGAGUCCCGGGUCAGUGACGCGCGCCCAGGGUCCCCGCACGCGGCGGCGGCCGGCCCGGCCUGGCCCCUGCCCAGCGUCUCCCACGCGGCGCCUCGGGCCGCGGACAAAGAUGCACUUUGUUUCCUCGGAGGGCGCGAAGGGCUCUGCGGGUCGGCUGCGACCCGGCGCUGGCUGCCCGCGCUGCUCUCGGUGCGACCCGAGCGCCCCCCGCCGGCCGCGGUGCGCGGCGCGGGGUCUACGCGGACGGCGCCUGGGGCUCAGGGUCCAGCGUGGGAAGCUGCUUAUUCUGUGAAUAAACUGCCUUCCAGCACACCCGGCCAGCAAAUCCACGAGCCUCCCUGCAGCCAAACCCAGCCAGAUUAAGUAAUAAAAACGCAGACGGAGUCGCCGGAGUCUCCGCCGUGGGGAGCGUUAAUGAGUAACAGCCAGGCCAGCGCCAAGCCGGCGUGGGAUUAACGUUUUUAAAUUCCGGUCUUAUUUAUUUUGGGGCUCUUAGCUCCUUCCAGUGUUAUGCUCAGAACAUCAGACUCCAGGUCUGUGCUCAGCCCCGUUUCCUUGCUCCCUCCGCUCCGAAGGCCCCACUCCUGGAAAUGGGCUGUCUUCGGUCACCCGGGAUCUGCCACGAGUGUCCUACAGCUGGGGGCGGGGCAGGCAGGCCCCAAAGAACAAUGAGGCCUUUGCCUCCUCUGCAUCCUGCGGGCCGGAUAUCCGUUCAGAAGCCGACUCUGGGCCUUCUCUGUCCAGAAGGAGGAAACCCUCUGUCCCCAGGGCUGCCAGGAAGUCGCAGGGAGGUGCCGAGAGAAACAGAGAACAGUUAUUAUGCAUUGGAGAAUAUAAAGAAAUCAAUAAACCUUCCAGGCCUUGGAAACUGGUCUGGUCACUGAUUGUAACAACCCAAGAUUACCUGCUUUCCUGGGGGAGUAUACCCACCACCACCACUUCCUGGUGUCUAGACUUGGGUCAGUGAGUCUCCCAGGGCCUCAUUUAUCUUGUCUGCAAAAUGGGGGCAACAACAGUUUACCUGUCAGAAGGCGGAGGGCUCAGCGGGUAACUUUUCAGGCACUUACCACUCCAGGAAUUACUGUUCUAAGCAAUCCAGGCUUGGUCUUUGCUACAUAUUCACGUGCCUAGAGCCCUAACCUUUAAUGAAAGGAUCUCUCUCAGACAGCGAGACCCCUAAAGCUGGCAGCUCCUAGAGCCCUCCACCAACCACGCUGGUCACUUGCUGGCAGCAUAGGGCCUGAUGAAGCCCGAAGUUUGUUUAUUCGGCUAACAUAAAAAAAAAAAGAAAGAAAAUUUUUGAAUGCCUUUAGAUGGCUUAUGCACCUUAACAAUUUUCUUGGGCCGGGCGCGGUGGCUUACGCCUGUAAUCCCAGCACUUUGGGAGGCCGAGGCGGGAGGAUCACGAGGUCAGGAGAUCGAGACCAUCCUGGCUAACAGUGAAACCCUGUCUCUACUAAAAAUACAAAAAAAAAAUAGCCGGGCGUGGUGUUGGGCUCCUGUAGUCCCAGCUAUUCAGGAGGCUGAGGCAGGAGAAUGGCGUGAACCCGGGAGACGGAGGUUGCAAUGAGCCGAGAUCGCGCCACUGCACUCCAGCCUGGGCGACAGAGCGAGACUCCGAACCAAAAAAAAAAAAAAAAAAAAAAAACAAUUUUCUCAAAGGUUGUUUUUGUUUGUUUUUUUGUUUUGUUUUGUUUUGAGACAGUUACUCUGUCACCCAGGCUGGAGUGCAGUGGCCCAAUCUCGGCUCACUGCAACCUCGGCCUCCCAGGUUCAAAUGAUUCUUGUACUUCAGCCUCCCAAGUAGCUGGGAUUACAGGUGUGUGCCACCAUGACUGGCUAAUUUUUGUAUUUUGAGUAGAGACGGGGUUUCGCCAUAAUGGCCAGGCUGGUCUUGAACUCCUGGACUCAAGUGAUCCAACCCGCCUCUGCCUCCCAAAGUGCUGGAAUUACAGGCAUAAGCCACCAUGCCUGGCUCAAAGUUUCAUGAGCAUACAAAUCACGGGGGAUCUUGUUAAAAUGCAGAUUGCAUUUGGAUAGAUCUGGGGUGGUUUCUGAGAUGUUGCUCUUUCUAACAAACUCCAGGGCUCUGUCGAUCCUCGUGGUCAGUAGACCACACUCAGAGUUGAAAAGCUUUCUAGUUUACCGUAACUCCCUAUUGUCUUAUACCCAGCCCAAGUCACUAGUGAUUUUAUUUAUCUGGCCUGUAUAGACAUUUAAGUUUUCCAUCCUGGGAACCCCUGCCUCUCCCUCUCAUUUUACAGAUGUGAAACAGACCCAAAGUAAGUGAGUUGGCAUGGUCACUCAGCAAGUUAGUGUUAGACUAUUUUUUUGUCCACUACAAGCUGUUGCAUCCUGCCUACACAAAUACAUGGUUGUACAUCAGGUUUUUGUGCCUCUAUGAGGAAAUUCAGACACUCCAAUGCAAGAAUGGAACAAUAAUGGCUAGCAUUUACUCAACACCAACUGUGGGCCAGGCUCUUGUGGUCUUUUAAAUGGAUUAUCUCCUUGAACACAAUAUCCAGAUGAGGUAGGGAACACAGGCCUAUUUUAUAGAUAAAGCACCAGGUUAAGAAAGGUUUUAUAGGCCGGGCACGGUGGCUCACGCCUGUAAUCCCAACACUUUGGGAGGCCAAGGCAGGCAGAUCACCUGAGGUCAGGAGUUCGAGACCAGCCUAACAUGGUAAAACCCCGUCUCUACUAAAAAUACAAAAAUUAGCUGGGUGUAGUGGCAGGUGCCUUGUAAUCCCAGCUACUCGGGAGGCUGAGGUAGGAGAAUGACUUGAACCCGGGAGCCAGAGGUUGCAGUGAGCCAAGAUCAUGCCAUUGCACUCCAGCCUGGGCAACAGAGUGAGACUUUUUUUUUUUCCUCAAAAAAAAAGAAAGGUUUUAUAAUUUGUCCAGGGUCACAUAAGUAAUAAGUAGAAGACCCGGGAUUUGAACCUGUCAGCCUGACUCAGAGUUGGUGCACUUAAUUUCUGGCUUGCGCAAGCUAGCCAGCACAGCUUGGUAGUAACUGUUCUGUGUGGCUGCCGGGAUGAACUUGUAUUAUAAGAAGGCAAAGCACCCAGUUGACUAAAUCAUUAAGAUUUCAAGGGGUUUUCCAUUUUCAUCUAUAAUUCCACCAUUAUGGCUUUAUUCCUUUCAAUUAACUGCA